rnacentral:rRNA from 1 species
CUACGGGUUGCAGCAGUGAGGAAUAUUGCACAAUGGGGGGAACCCUGAUGCAGCAACGCCGCGUGGAGGAUGACGCAUUUCGGUGUGUAAACUCCUUUUAUAUGUCAAGAAAAUGACGGUAGCAUAUGAAUAAGCACCGGCUAACUCCGUGCCAGCAGCCGCGGUAAUACGGAGGGUGCAAGCGUUACUCGGAAUCACUGGGCGUAAAGGACGCGUAGGCGGGAUAUCAAGUCAGGUGUGAAAUCCUACAGCUUAACUGUAGAACUGCACUUGAGACUGGUAACCUAGAGUAUGGGAGGGGGAGAUGGAAUUAGUGGUGUAGGGGUAAAAUCCGUAGAUAUCACUAGGAAUACCUAAAGCGAAGGCGAUCUCCUGGAACAUAACUGACGCUAAGGCGUGAAAGCGUGGGGAGCAAACAGGAUUAGAUACCCCCGUAGUC